AAUAUAAGACGCAAAGCUUUUGACUUCAUCACACUCUAGUUUCCUUCUCUUAGCUAACUUGGAAGAAGUUGCAGCCGCUAGGGCUUCAGCUCGUGCUCGCGUUCGCGUUCUUACGCCAACUCGAGCGACCUCCAUCACUGGAAUUUCUGUAAGCCCUUGAGCCCUCAACUUUCUCACCGCGUUUCUAUGUUGCAGUUUCUCUUUAUCCUCUCUAUUUUGUCAUGGUUUGUUUUGUUAAUUUGUACGUCUAUAUGGACUAUCGUUGUGGUCCAGGCUCCGUUAACAAGGACGGGUUAUCUGUAACGGGGAAUUUGACGGCGCCGUUCUUUAUACUAUUGGAGGACUGACAAGUGG
rnacentral:lncRNA from 1 species